rnacentral:tRNA from 1 species
GAGGGUAUAGCUCAAGUGGUAGAGUGCAUGCUUAGCAUGCACAAGGUCCUGGGUUCAAUCCCCAAUACCUCCU